UCUCCCUGUUUAUUGACCCCACAUUCCACAACUGUCUUGUUUCAUCACAACAGGUCUGUACUUUGUGUAACGAUUAGUUGCAUUUAAUUGUGGUAAGUAUAUCAAGAAUAUUUAGAUCAGAAGGGGACUGAAGGUGUGAUUGUGAUUAGAGGACAAUAGUUGUUGCAGAGUACUGCUCCAGUUUUUUUUUUUCCAGAGUUGGCUGGCCAUUCAGAGAAGGACUACAGUUGGCGCAGAAAGAGUGUUCCAGUUCUGCCCUCUACAGUUCGGUAGAGGCGCGGUUACAGGGCUGUUCAGGAGUUACUGGAGAAGGACUACAGUUGGUGCAGAAAGAGUGUUCCAGUUCUGCCCUCUACAGUUCGGUGGAGGCGUGGUUGCAGGCCAGUUCAGGAGUUAUUGGAGAAGGACUACAGUUGGUGCAGAAAGAGUGUUCCAGUUCUGCCCUCUACAGUUCGGUAAAGGCGUGGUUACAGUGAUAACAUCAUGCCACGCCGGGGGAAGAGAUCUGAGGCUGCAAAGCAACGCUGGGCUAAGUUGGACCUUUCAGACCCUCGG